AACCCUGAUAUAGAAAGGAAUAAAGAGAUGCAUUAAGACGGGAAUACUUUAACUCAGGAAAAGGACAAUGCAGGCAGAGGCAACAGUAACCAAAGUCUUUAAUGGCAAGUGGCAAGAUUCAGCUACUAAAGAAACAGCAAGCCCUUGUUAGAGUCUGACAGUUUAUUACUUACAGAGAGAGCAAAGGAAAGGCAAAUUGCCAUAAGUCUUGUCCCAAGGGAAGACACAAAAAGAAGGCAGGAUAGAUAAAAGAUACGAUAAUGCGACAUAAGGAGUGGGGCACCCUGGUGCUGAGCUGCUGAUUCCCUAUUGCAGCUAAGCAACUCUGGCCUGCAGCCACUCCCUAAAGGGACGCACAGUGGAGUCUCAUAAUUCAUCAAAAUCCAGAGGCAAUGACAAACUGUCUCACAUCCUCCUUGAAAGAUAGGGAGACAAACAUGAAGCGGCCCAUGGCAGCUACUGCAUGCCCCAUACCCUUGAGUUCCAGGAAGAUCACAGGGCACUCAUUCUAAAGCUCAGGUCGGCCCUGAACCACACCUGGCUAAGGUGGAUAAAAAACAAGGUCAUCAGGUGUCAGCAGAGCUGUUCCACCGUAGAAACCAGCUUGGCAAUUCUAGGAAUGGACAAAGUUCUGUGAUCUGAAGUGCAGUACACGGGCAAGUGGAAACCAGCUGAGGUUGGAGAAGCAGUCAGGAAUCAAAUCAUUUCAGGCUUCUUUGCCAAGGUAGGGAACGUGAAUUUUACUUGAAGUGUGACAGAUAUCAAGGAAAGAAAGUUGGUGUGAUGUUCAAGAGGAAGAUUAGUGAAACACUAUUACUAAAAGCCAAUUUUGCUACCAUCAUUGCUCAAGAAGUAUCCAUAGGACCCUUUCAGCAAACAUGCUGCUGUAGAAGCCCCAGAAUGUGAGAUCAGGGGAUCCAAGACACACUCCCUGACUCUGAAAGAAACACUGUGACACAGCUGAAGAAUGCUGGAUAGGCGUUUCUGUGCUGGCUAGCUCAAUCACCAUGAAGAAGUUCACUUCUUAGAAAUGAUGAAGAGAAACUGCCAACUACUUCAGGGUUUCUAGUGUUACUACUAUAGUGUAAGUGGCUGACACCAAGCUUCUGAUGGUCUAGACAUCCAUAUCAAAGACACCCUUCUCAAAUAAAAAUACUGCCAGCUAUAUAACACACUACCAGCAAAACUAGAUAAGAAACCAGGCCAC